UAUUGCUUUGCAGGGAAGAGGCUGCAGUGGCCUCUGGCCUGCGAACACUGCAAGCCAGCCCGGAGGGCUGCCUGGAGGAAGGGGCUGGGCGCUUUGGAGGGUCGUGCGGGAUUUAGCCGGUUUGGGCAGGAGUUGCAUCCUUGCUGUCCUGUCUUCUGGUGGCACCAGGCUCCUGAGACAAACGGCUAAGAAGGGAGGAGGGGAGGUCGGCGGAAGAGAAGUGAAAGGUCACCUUAAGAUCGAGCUUCGCUGAGGCGUUAGGGCAGCCAAUGUGAUUUUUGUUCAAUGUGAUGCUUUUAAGCGCUUUCAAUAACAAGGACUUUGUGAAGGAAAAGACCAUAACAAAAAAAUAUCACGGGGAUACAAGGAUUUCCUUUGCAAGAGGAUUUAUGAGCGAAACCUCCUUCAGGCUCCCUUAGCACACUGUUUUCGGGGAAACCGGAAUAGAACAAUCUGUAGCGAGAACAAAGAGCCCUGUGUUGGGAAAGACAUGUGGACCUGGCAGCAGCAGGUGCGCUUUUGUGGGGAGACCGAGGGUUUCGCCUGGGCCUUGAACUCGUAUUUCCAGCCAAGAUGGAUCGGACUCCAGGCUCCCUGAGGAUGAGCCACCACUUCUCCGCUCCUGCAGCCACCGCUUCUCCGCUGGGCCCGGAACCCGUCAAGCCGCAGGGACGUACGAUGGGCACAAUGACUCCGUUCUGCCCGGGCCACCCUCCCGCCUGUGCCACCUACCCCGCCAGCUCCCGUCUUGCUUGAGGAUGUCACAGUCAGGAUCCCUGGGUGGCUCAGCGGUUUAGCGCCUGCCUUCAGCCCAGAGCGUGAUCCUGGAGUCCUGGGAUCGAGUCCCACGUCAGGCUCCCUGCGUGGAGCCUGCUUCUCCCUCUGCCUGUGUCUCUGCCUCUCUUUCUCUCUCUCUCU